rnacentral:lncRNA from 1 species
CUUUAAUGUACAAUUGUUGUUCCCGGAAAGAAAUGGCAAAUUCAAUUAUAAGGAGGAAGGUUACGUAAGCAAAAUUUCAAGGUUUGCUUUCAAACCGUUUUCACAGUUCAGUGAAUUGAGGAAGAACAUUUACAAUGCAUGGCACUUAACACUGCUGUUAGAGAAAUGUGCUGGAGCAAUACCUAGCUGACAGUUCUACGAAUUGUGUUCUUCCAUUUCACAGUCCUUCAUGCUGCUUCUGAGAUGUUUCUUCCUAAUCCAACAAUGCAAUUCAUUUUGCAUUGCCUGUUGAGUCCCAUGAUGUUUUUGUUGACUGCCUGGACAGCAUCCAUCAGAAAUGAAGCAAGGAUAUGUUUUUACAGGGAAAGAAAAUAUAUGAGUAAAUCGGAGGUGUUGGCUUCUCUAACUUCUUGCAGAUCCCAGAAGCUUGAAAGCACAAAAGAAACAGCUUGUGGGAAAUCUGUGAAGUCCAUCUAUUUCUACAAUAGGAUUAUUCAUCACCACAUGUUUUCCCCAUCUGGAAGUAAAUGGACAAAAUGCUGAAACCACCACCGUCUCACUUGCAAAUUGCUCCACAGUCUAACCAGUCAUGCUAUUGAGAAGAUAUGCCUGCAGUUCAACCCAAAUUGUCUGUAAUCAUGUUGCUUCCUUUCUCUUGUUAUCCUGAGUAGUUCCUCCCCACCCAUGUGUUUAACCUCUCUGCAAUAUUUGUGGAUGGCAAUCAGAUCCCUCUGAGUCACUGCUUAGCUAAGCUGUAUGCAUUUUCAGCAUCGUUCUUUUCUUGUGUAAAUCUUCUCAGAUAUUUAACUAUUUUUCUCCACUUUCCUGUGAAACCCUGAGCAUUCACUGAAGAUGUUAGAAUGAUUGGCCCUGGCUGAACAUGGGAACGGACCAUGAACCUUACACAGAUGUCCCUUUAGUGGCCUGGGUACAAGUGCAGUGUGUCG